ACCAGGCUUAGUGGCGCACGCCUGUAGUCCCAGCUACUCGGAAGGCUGAGGCAGGAGAAUGGUGUGGUUUAGUCAUCCAGGUGAUCUUAACUCGAAGGUGUAAAGAAAACACAUCAUUCAAACUCACAAUGCAUGAAUUAACAUCUCUCCCUGACAAAAAAAAAAAAAAAUUAAAAUUUUUAAAAAUUUAAGCCAAAUAGCUAAUAAUGCAUGAAUCAUCUUUACUUACCACUUAAAAUGGCUUUUAGUGAGGUUUUGGUCCUUUUCUACCAAGAAAGACAAGGAUAUGUAAAAGUAACUAAGAGUAACCUAAUAAUCAUUGUCCAAAGUUUGUAAACGUUAUCUAUUUAAAGCUAUGUCUAGGAGUUACUGUUGGAUUUCUACUUCUGUUUGUUUCCAACAGAUUGGAUUUAUAUCAUUGUUUAACAAAUUGUGUUCUGAGGUGCACUGGUUUAGUAAGGUAUUAACUGGUAUUUUCCUCCAGAGAGUUCUGUGGCCCUAUAGGUUAUAAAGACAGUAUGAAGGCCAUCUUUCUCUAGGAGAUUCAUGGUGCACAUUUGCAGAUAAAACUCUCAACAUCCUGCCAUUGAAAAACCAGUUUAACUGUAUUUCAGCCCAAAUCUCACAAACUUUUUAAUCAUGAAAACUAACUCUGUGUGUGUGGACUAACCAUUGACAUCUCACUGACACAGUGUUGGGGAAACAGGUAACACAUUUUGGGAAAUUUCCAGAUCAAUUCCUGAGCUGUCACAAUUGUAACUCUAGGUUGAACCAAUCGACUUUGAACUCCCUGGAAAGCCUCAUAGAACAAGAUACUUCUGAGUCUUUGCUGAUCAUUUUAUCCUUGAAGUGUACUGAAACAGAUUGCUCCCACACAAAUUACAUUUAAAAUAAUUCUAGAAUAUUACUACUGAAUCUACCCAACCUUAUCAUCUAAAAUAUUUUAAUGAGUUAUAUAGACUUUCUCUGCCCAAGUAUUUCCACGUACUAACUGGAAGAGAAAUAUCUUGUCAUGUCCUGUUCUCAGACUUUGUCAGAUAAAAUCAGUAAAUCUUCCAGCCUCUUCCUAAUGUCUUCAGCUCAGUACUGCCUGGCUUGCUUACAGUGUUGAUAAUAGGAUGUAAAUGAAUUAUCAUAUGGGAGUUUAAUAGCAGAACUCCCCAAAGGUAAGAGUGGUGAAGGUGAAGACUGCCUUAAUCACUCCGAAGUUGCAUACGGAGAAAGUGAGCUUGCAGUGAAGUUAAAUGUCUUGAGCAAGUCCUGCAGCUAUAUUCAUGACAAAACACUGCACUGGAAUCCAUUCCAGUUUGCCUGUUGCCUCUCUUACUGUAUUUUCCCAAUACUGAAGAUCUCCUCACUCCCAGCAAGAGGAAAUUUCCAUUGACUUAGAGACAGAGGCUUGAGCAAAACCAUAGAUGCUCCCUGUAAAAAAUGUGUCCAAGAGGAAUAAGGAGAUCAUAGCCAAGUCAAACUGUGAUAAAGGCAACUUUGGAGAAGAGAGACAAGGUCUGUCUUCGCUUAACAUGCCCAUUGGUGAGUAGGUUUGCAGAUAUGCUAGUCAGGGAAUGUAGCCAAACAGCCCGGUAGAGAUGGACUGUACACCAAGUGACUCAAUGUAGAAGUGAAAAAUUCAAUGCAUUUUAAAGUUUAUGUCUGAUUUCAGAAGACAUCAAUGAUCUUUCUCUCUGCAUUCAUUCUCUAGAUUCCUCAUUCAUCAUCAGCUCAUUUCCAGUUGUUUUAUCCAGCAAGUGAAAUGUGUUGGAGGAGGGGGGAGGGCAGGGGUGAGCUGAGGGCCAAGAAGGGGAAACCAAGGGCAGUGCAGCCAAUGCUCUGUGAUCUGGGAGUGCAUGAAUUUUAGGUCAGCUAAAUCAGGACACAAAGCUACAGCUGCGAAACCACAAAGGCCUACAUAUAGCUUCCCUGGCUCAAUUGCUUCCCAGCCUCAAAUCUGCGGAAGAGAGACUUCCAUAGGGGAACCUUCUUCUUCCCCAAUUAGUGCCUUUUCACAGUGGCAGGAUAGAAAAGGUUUUACUCGGCAACAUUACUCAGUAUCAGUAAUAUGCAAAAGAUCUGUGAAAUCAAUUCCCAUUAUUUCAAAGGACGCUGCAUAGUAAAAAUAAUGCAUAGUAAAAACACUGUAAUGAAACUACUGCUUAAUCUGCUGUGAUUAUCUAAAACGAACAAGCAACUGUUUCAUCCUUAUUUUGCAGCAUCUGCUCAUUGGUACAUAAACUGUGUGUGCUACAGCAAAGCUUCAUGCAAUGGCAGUUGAAACUGAAUCUUGAGGUGUCAUUGAGAUAGAACUUUAGGGGGAUUGAAUAUCUAGCUUAAGAUCAUUAAAGCUUUUCCAAUCUCACCUCUCCUGUCUCAUUUGUUUUCUGAAUUCUUAGGUCUCUGAACUACCUUCUUUUUUUUUUUAACAUGAACAAAUAGCUUAAAAAAGCACAAACAGAAACAAGCAAAGUGGUUUUCCUUUUUUAAAGCUAGUUUGAUCAUCAUGCAAAUGGCAUACUGCCCACAUUCUCUCCCUCCCCCUAGUUUGCCCUUCUGCCCCUUGCUAAUAACAGUCAGCCUUGUUUGGCCGCAGCUUGGCAAAACUCUCCAACAAUUUUGCCGCUCUAUAUUUCAGCCAUGACUUUUGUCAUAUUUUGGAGAGAAACUUGCACCUGGCCAACCAACUUGCAUGCCAAGUUCCAGCCCAUUGAGAUUUAAAAUGGAUUUGAAUCGAUUGCCCUAUAAAAUUGAGAAUGUAUAACAAAGACAGCAGUAAAAAGUCAUGGUAGUUUCUUGCAGAGUUGAAAAUAAAACAAAGGGUACUGUGAUAGGUAGCAUUCACCUUGCAGUACCUUUAAAAACACAAGUAGUAUUUUUUUGCCCUAUGCAAAGAUAAGGAAAGAAAAGGCAGCUUACAAAAUGCAUCAAGAGAAUAGAAUGCAUUUUUCUCUUGACAUAGCUAAUGUAAAAAAAAAGAAUAUCCAUUUUUAUUAUUGUUAUUGCAACUUAAAAUUAACUUGGUGCACAGGUAUUUGCUAUUGGGUGAUCUAUUAUUGGUUACCUUUUGAGUCAUACUUUUAGUGGGAAAUGGAGACCUCCUUUUCUCUAGGGAUUUCUGCUUCCACAAAAACUAUCUUCUGACUUCUCUUUGAUGCUUUCUGCUCAGCCAGGGGGAAGAUAAGUAGAGAAAGGUUAUGUGUUUGUCAACUCACCAAGGAAAACUAUACUGUAGAGGUAGCAGGCAUCUGCAAUUGCCAUGUAAUUGAGAGCAGACUUGCCCUCUACUACGGUAUAUGAAGCCCAAGAAAAUGCCAAACUGCUUCUAUUUCAGUCCAGCUGGAAUGUGCAUAGGAAUGACUUCAGAUCUUGUGAAAAUGCAGUUUUUGAGUGAGUGGGUCUGGGCUGUCUAAGACCAGAGCAUCUGCACCAAGCUCCCAGUGUGCUGCUGGUCUGCCAGGGGACAGAUGCUUCUGGUCCCGGGACCACAGCUUGAAUACCAAGGUUUAAGUAGACUGGGCCCCUUCCAUACAUACAAGUGUUACCAAUAUUUUAGGAUAAUUUUCUGAAUGUGAUAUAAAACUUGGUGGAAGCCUAGACAAAUUGAAUGUCAUGGCCCUAGAACCACAGACAUAAUCUUAUCACAGGAAUGUAUUGAGGUCACACAACACACUCCAAACAUGAGGCAGUGAAG
rnacentral:lncRNA from 10 species